GAACAUUUUACUUGAUCACACGUCAGUUUGAAACCGGAGCAGUCGAACGCCACAACAGUAAACUGGAUUCAACUUUAUUUCUAAAUUGCAUCGUUACCAAUGGCAACCAACAAGAGCCUCGUUUUCGCAAUCGCCGUAGUCCUAGUUCUCAGUCUCUUCACACGGACCGCGACCUCAUUUUUCCGAGAAGGACGAACGCUAGAUCUCCGAAAAACCAGACAGUCAUCCAACGCGGAUAUCUUCAAUCCAAUUAGACAACACAGCGACUAUGACAACCUUUCAUCAGAAGAACUUAAAAACGCCUUCAAAGAUUUUCUACAGAAGAAAUCUAGAAAUUUUAAAACAAAACAGCAAGAUUGAGGAUGGAGUUAAAAUUGAUUCAAGACACUAUGGAUAUAUAGGAUGAAAUAAUAAUAACGCUAGCUUUGGACGAUGGAAUGACGGAAAGAUUUCAUUUAGUGAACACACACACACACACAAAAAACAAAAUCUUGUUCAAGAACAUGAAUGAUUCGAAACGUGCUUCAGUUUUGUCGCGUUGGUGGCGUGUGUGUGUGUGUUAAUAAGUACGUGUUAGUGAAAGAAAA
rnacentral:lncRNA from 1 species